CUGGAACAAUUAGUAUAUGAUUGAUACUCUCACUUCACCUCCGUUCAUUGUUAAUAAUCUAGGUAUGUACAUUAUUUAUAUUUGCAGGUGGUUGAUACCUUCGCCCCAACCCAUUAUGAGUUGGAGCUACUUGGUGGUGCCCCAACAUUAGCUGUUGGGGAUGGUGGAGAGACGCAAACUCCUUUUUGUGAUCCAUACAACCUUGCCCUACUUCCCAUUUUUGUUGUUCUGAUCGAAGUUGGGCCAAGCACAGGGCAUAGUGCUGACACUAUUUCAUAUUAGGCUAAAACAAUGGGUGUGUGUACACGUUGCAUCGAAUCCAUUGAGUUUGAGCAGCUUAGUAUGAAGGUAGCCCGAGUAGAUUAUUAUGCUACUGAAGUUGG